rnacentral:lncRNA from 1 species
AUCACAAAAUCAUCAUCAACAACUUCAUACCAUCAACACAAUAUUAUAAAUUAAUUAACAUAUAUAUAUAUAUCUAUUAGCUACUUAUAAUUAACAACAACUUCAUAUAUAUUAUCAAAUCAUCAACCAAAUCGAUCAACACACAUAUAUAUAUAUAUACAUCAAAAUCAACACACAUAUAUAUGUAUACUCAAAAUCUAUCAAUUUAAUCACACUCAAAAUCGAUCAAUAACUCAAAUAAAACUCAAAAUCAACAUAUAUACACAUGUACGUACCUAUAUAUAGCUCAACUUCUUAAUAAUGGACAGAUUUCAACAACACCCAAACUUUUUCUCCCGUUUUUUCUUCUCCCGUUUUCUUUUCUCAGAUGAGCUGCUGUCCAGAUCUGCGAAUAUAAAGAACUUUAGCCGACGAAAUUAUAUUUUCGUCGGCUAAAGAAAGUUUAAAGUCGUCGGCUAAAGUCACAGACUUUAGCCGACAAAAAAAAAAUUCUUUAGCCGACGAAAAUAUAAUUUAGCCGACGAAGGAAAAUUUCGUCGGCUAAAGUGUACUUUAGCCGACGAAAAAUUGUUUCGUCGGCCUGUUUUUUUUUUUCGUCGGCUAAAGUCUUUCUUCUGGUAGUGAUUGUAUCGUAAGGCUUACACCUUAUGCGCCUUAACGCCGCAAGGCUCAAGGCUCUCCCGACAAAAUCUUGCAUACGCCUUAGCCUUUUAAAACAUUGGUUGAAACCUUGUGUGCCUUCCAAUCCGUUGGUCGCCUUGCCAGCACUCGGGCAUGGUCGAGUUUGUUUAAAGGAAUACUUAAAAUGACCUGAUUAACCUCUGCUUCCUGUAGUGAGAAAAAACUAGUAAUUAGGUCUUAUUCCAUGCACGUCUUCGAGGGACCGUUGCAUUCCUCGUGGGUAGUCCACUAGGUGAAUUUGGUAGCCAAUUCCAUACAUUCACUUUCGUAUCAGAACCAAUAACUGAAAUUUGCACACCCACAGUUAUAAUUCACACAAUCUGACUCAUGUUUUUUAAUUAUGAAAGUGUCAAAAAUGACCAUGUCCUGGACAAUUUGAAGAAAAUAAAAACAUGGACAUAUAAAAACAUUGACAUUUUUGAUACUUCCACAAUUUUAAAUUGAAGGUGAGUAAAUUUCCCACUGUCUUAAAAUUAAAGCCCUAGUUUAGCAUAAAAAAUAAAAAUAAAAUUAAUAUUUAGUGGGUAGCAGUUGGCACUGCCCACACUACCAGUGCGAGGGUUUGCCGAUGACCGCUAUCACAAUCAAACCUACGUAAUUCCUUUCGGUAGUUGCUUCUUCCUAAUUACCAUCUAGUUGACCCAAGAUUUUGGAUUCAGAACACUAUAUAUCGGUUUGAAUUCAUUUGUUGAGAUUAAUUAUUUUGAUGUCGACCUUAUAUGAAUUAAAUCAAAUAUGGUAGGUGACUACUGACUACAAAAAUAGUUCAAUUCCCUUGAAAAAUCAUGCAGUAUACUGUGUACAUACAACUAUAUAUUACAGAAAUACUGUACGCUUUUGAGAUUGUUUAUACAAGCUAGAGUAGUUACUUGGAUUUCUUCAAUUGUAAUAAUAACCUAAGCGGCUGUUUGAUGAUCAAUUUAUGGUAUUUCAUGUUCUUCAAAAGAUACAGAAGAUGCAGAAUGUAUCUCUGUGUGGCUUGAAUUAUAGUUCACUGGGGAUUGAACUGAAUCUCGUUCCUGACUUGUUUUAAAAGUGUGAGAGUCAAGGUCCUUUUGGUUGAAGAUUUCAAACAUGAUCUGCCACCUUCUCCAUCUAGAGGCUCCCGAGUCAGAAGGGAUCAUAGUUUUAUGCUUGUGGAGGAACGAAGCAAUAAAGAUGAUGAGUGCGACUAUUGAAGCCAGCCCUGCAAUCAAGAAUAAGCCCCAAAAGCUAGCAAGCCCUAGACUGUUGCUAGAAACUGAUUGAGUACUAGAGUCUUGACAAUUGCUUUCUUCUUUCUUGAACCAUUUGUUUCCAAUGUUCAAUAUCUUAUCUCCUUCUGUCACGUUUAGCACUGCUCGUGAAACGUCAGGCACAAGAGGCGAACGUUUUGGAAACACCUGUACAAAAACAAUCAACAAAGCUUAGUACAUUCCCAAACAUGAUAAAUAGGGAGAGAGAAGCAGAGCUCUUACAAAGCCAAAGCCAACUGUUUUGAAGAUAGGUCCGACCAUUGUGAACUUGGAACAAUAUUUGGCUAGAAGAAGCUUUGUGUAAGGGGUUUCGUCGACAAAAGCAGCAAUGCCACCAUUUGGACUCCCUUUUGUGAGAGCUUCUUGAAUUUCUUCAACUGUUGUAAGGCCUUUAAGCUUGGAAUCGUCAAAACCUACUUGUUUCAGUAGAUCAUAAGUAUAAGCAGUGCUCCUAUAUCCCACGUUUUCUCCCUUCCUCAAAAUGUCUUUUAUAUCGGUAACAGUCGGUUGAAGUUGCUGGACUGUUAAUAGUGAAGCUAGGUUAGCCGUGUAACUUUGUGUCAGUAUUAACAAAACAAAUACCCAUAUGAUCAUCACAAAUCUUCCCAAAUUGCUGAGCACUCUCUCUCCUGUACAUCGAACAAGUAGAUGGUCAAUUGUAAGUAUUAUAAAUUACAAAUUAGUAACAUAUAUAAGGAUACAGACUCUUAAAUUUUAUGUAAUCUAAAGUUAGAGAGAUCGGUAUGGACAUAUUACUUUGUGAAAACACCAUGGUUGAGAAGGAGAACCAGACACUGGUGCCGACUUGAUGCGAGGGAGGGCCACGAAAAUCUUCAUUGAUUCGAUGCUCUAGAACCCAAACCACAAAACCAAUGAAAAGAAAGAAACAUGAAGUUGUUAGCCAAAGAUCCCAUGUCAAAGGCUUCAAGAAUACCCAUGCAUUUUUGGCCCUGGUGUCGAAGAUCGGCACAACCAUUACUACGCCUGAUUCUGUGUAUGGCAUUGUAAAGUCCACAUACAAUGACCUCAUUGCUCGAAUUGUUACAUCUCCCACCACAGCAUCAAACUUCUGUGUAAUAAACAUGUAGAUGUAAAUAACUAGACAUAAAAUCUGAGCCAGUCAGUCCAUAUUAUUGAGAAAAGAAAUUUACCCCAAGAUAUACUUGAUAGCACAAAUCGUUGUAAGUUGCGGCGACAGAGUCAUUAGGUUUUUCAUAAGGAAUGAACUCAUACGGAAGAGGAUAUGGCAAUACGUCUAUUGCUGCCUUAAAGACAUCAAUAGAAAACCCUGUGACUUCAGUUGUAUUUGAGCUUGGAUCUUUUGUAACCCUCACAAACUCAAGAACACCGAAAUUAACAGGAACUCCUAUUCUCAACCGCUUGCCAUUUGUUGGGAUCUCCCAUCCCUUCGGAGUAGAGAGAAAUUCUCCAGGCCAUAUAACACUGGAUUUCAGGUUAGACUUCGAAUCAGUUGAGAGUAUGGUUUUGCUUGCGGAAUUCAAACUGUUCACCAGUCCAUUUUGUGGUGUCCAAAAUCCGAUAUCUCUUGCUCCAUCCUCAUUAAUAUUCACUAUACGGAACGUUGAUGACUGAAGUUGUCCAUCAACAAUGCUGAAAUUUCCAGCUAUGCCUUCAAAUCUAGUUUUCGAAAGGGCUCGGCAGAGAUCUGGACCAUAUUUAGAUAUCUCAGCACUCCCAAAAUCUGUCAAAUUGAAGGAGGAGGAGGAGGAGGAGGAGUUCUUCUUUUGGAACAAGUCGAAAGUAGUUGUGAUCCCGACUUCUUCGAUUGCCAUGGCUAGUGCAAAAGCUGCGUCAUAAGCCCAAAGUGCUAGGACAUCCAGUUGAUCAACAUCAAUAAGAGUUGAAUGGUCGUCUUGCAUGGAUUGUUGCUUCCACCGUAAGUUGAAUUCUUCAAGCUUCUGUGUUUGAGCAACGUAUGUUUGUACACCUAUUACACCUUGCAUGGAAUUUAUGACUGUGGAAUUCAUCGAUAUUAACCGAUUGGCUAACCCAUUAGUCAUGAUCCAAACAUAUCCUUGACCCAUCAUUCCAAUCUCUUUUGCCUUGGCAAACAGCCUACAACCGAGCUUGGGAUUCAUAUGAACAAUGAAGACUCUGGUUUGCAUGGUCAUUAACUUACGCAGUUCUUGAAGAAUUUGAUCAUCAGUGGCAAGUGGGGAAACUGCGCUUCGAUAUGUGACACGAACAUCAACCUCUUGCAGUGCAUCAGUUAGAAAAGGUAUGACUGCAUCCCCAUAUUCAGUGUCUACAUAGAUAGGUACAACUUGUCUCCAACCGAAAUUUUGGACUAUAGAACUUAUGGCAUUCACUUGGGAGGAGUCUACCUGUGUAAUUUGGAAAAAAUAGGAGCUGCGGAGUGAAUUAAGAGAUGGACUUGAUGCAGAAAAUGAAAUAAUUGGCACUUGAGCCUGGUCGCCCAAGUUAAUAACAAAGCUUGCAUCCAUCGACGUCACGGGUCCUAGAAUGGCUUGCACUUGCUUAUUCUUUAUCAAAUCUAGAGCUGCGUCAAAAUGUAAAAAGUGAGAAUCAUAAUUAGCAAGUUAUAACAAAGUGAUCGACUAUAAUAUAUGCUGGCUUCGUUUAUACUAAUUAAAAGUUAAUCACGUAGCUUAAUUCGAUACAGAAUACAAUGUAGUAGCUAGCUAGAGAUCGAUUAGUCUAGCAAUGCACUAAACUAAUCUGCUUUGAUAUAUAGGUGUCUUAUUGUAUCGUAGAACUUUCCUCAUAUCCCAUCUUAAUCUAAAUUAAAACGAUAGUAACAGAAGAUAUUUAAUUAUUUUAAUACAAUCAAAUCUGAAAUAUGAAAUAAUCCAAGUUAGUUAGUUAGAAGAUAGAGUUAAUUAGUAGAAAUUAGAAUGAACCUGCAUCAGCUGCACGUACAACGUUGCUCUCCGAGUCCCUAAUGUUCAGCACCAGCCUUGUUUUGUAGUGAGCAUGAGAUGCAUAGAAGUCUGAGAGGGCCAUUUUGAUGCAACUCAACCAAACCGUCCCAUACUCUCUAUUUAUAUCAAGAACAACACCAACGUUCACUGGGAUUGUACUCGUUGUGUUUUCUGCCAUGGCCACGCAAAUCCAUGAAGACACAAACACGAAAGCAAGAACAAGAUUUUUGGUUUUCUUGAGCAUAUUUGAAAUGUAAUCGGAGACCUAGCUGGUUAAACGUUUUGAACCACCUGCAGUGAUGAAUGAUGAUUCAUGCAUGUUAGUCUUUACAUAUAUAUUGGCCGGUUUUGUGAUGGUGGAAUAAUUUAAAAAUACUGAUAUAUAUAUAUAUGGUAAACAAUCUAUCACCUACGGUACUAUCAAAAUAUGUUUUCAUUUUAUAGUGGAAAGAGAAAUGCAAUGAUAAUAGGGAAAGAACUAAACAAUCACAUCAAAAUAAAUUGACUUUGUUAACCUUUGGAAUAUAUAUUGCAAGCAGAAGGUAUGAAGGAUACAAAUUCAUACUCUACAGUACAAGACAAACUAGGGUUCUAAGUAAGCUUCAAUAAUCAUGGAAAGGAGAGGCCCGAAUGCCAUUAUCAAGUGGCAAGCACCUUCAAAUUUUUUUGUUAAGAUUAUCCUUGAUGUUCGUUCAAUUAUACAGGAGAUUCAACGGCGAUUAACUUUGUCAUCUGGGAUGUUCAUGAUAUUCAUGUAUCUGCAACAUCCAACCACACAUUAAAAGAGCUUCAGUGCCGGCUUAUUGCUGAGGCUUUAAGAGACAACCUGAUAAAAACAAAAGAGAUAGACUUUACAAAAUUUGAAAUGGAAGGAGAUUCCAAGUUGGUAAUUGAAUCAAUGGAUGGUCAAGUUGAUCCGCCUUAGUGAUUGAUCAAGCUAGCUAGUUCAACAUAUUAGACAUAUGUCGACUACAUUUGAUUCUAUUGGCUUUAAACAUGUUUUUCGUGAAGCUAAUUUUGUGGCUAAUGCUAUUGAUAAUCUUGGUCAUUCAAGUGAUUCCUUGUGUAUUAGAAUGAUAGACUUCCUAGUAAGGCUUCACGAGUCUUGCUCUUUACAGCGUAAACUCUAGUUGUCCUAAAAGCUUCUGUUUAUAAAUUAUUUACUUCUUAAAAAAAUGAAAGAGUAGAAACUAAAUUGAAUUGCCAUAUAUGAAACAAAUUAAGCUGCUAGUUGGGAGAUUUGAAGUCUAAGGUGGCGAAAACAAAUUAAUGACCGGAGGCAAUCUUGACUUCAACUCUUACCAAAAGUCAUAUCACUUACAUAUAUGCACAUGACAAUUGAUGAAUAUGGAUAAAAAUAAGUGGAGUCUGAAUUGAUAGAUGCUGAAUUUUUUUUAAGGGAAAGGAAACACUUGAUAAAAAUCAGGACGACCAAAACAGUCAAGCAUGAAUAGUCCUAAACUCAUACAAGCACAUAACAACGACUAAAUUAAGCUACAUUUAAAUAGAAAAAGCAACUUCAAAACUACAUCCAAAAGGUGGAUAUGAAAACUAAAAACAAAUAAAAAAUAAACCUCUCAAAACCUAUCAAUAACUCAAUUUUCAAUCAAUUAAGACCUAAGAUGCAACGGUGUACUUUUCAUCGAAUGGAAAGAAAAAAGAGAAAUAGCUAGGGUUUGGCAGAGAUCUUUCCUAAUUGCACUAGCUGAUUGAAGUGAAAUUGAAAUCAAGUCUUAGAUAAAUGUUCCACGGUUCACCAUUAAUUUNNNNNNNNNNNNNNNNNNNNAUAUAUAUAUAUAUAUAUAUAUAUAUAUAUUGAGUAAAUGGUUGGUGCGGCUGCCCUCAAGCUUUCAUUAAUAAAACCGUUUUAAAUAUAUUUUGUUACGUGACGUGCUUGUUACUGGGCGCGUAAUUUAAAAACCCCUUUUUAUCAGAAUAUUGGCGUGCUCGUUAUCGGGCGCGUAAUUUAAAAACCUUUUUUUUUAUCAGAAUGUAAUAUUGGCAAAUAGGGUUUGAUCAAUCCGGAGACCUAAAUGGCGCUCCUACAAUGACUGUUACACUGAAGAAUCAGUAACUAUAAGUAUUUACAAAUAUUCAGUUACAAAUAUACACAUGGUACAAUGGAUAAAAGGGGGGUUUUGAAGAUUUGAUUCUAACAUUCCUACUAAAACAGAAGAUAAAGUAUAAUAUAUACAAGUGAGCGAUUCAUUCAACAUCGUAAACAGAGAUAAAUUCGAAUUCUACCAAACAUCAAGGUCUCAUCUCAUUCCAACAAUCCGAUUAUCAUGCAAGUUUUUAACAAGAGAAAUAAUCUCGGAACACACGCCUGAAGAGGACAUGCAUUCCUUUAAUUCUACUUACUCUAUCACCUAAGCACAGAGAAGUCUAGAACUUAGAUUAUUUCAUGUAAAUUGUUGUAUUCAAUACUGAAGAGUACUUGUCCACAAUAAACAUGAAUCAUUAAGAAUUAUAGAACUGAGAUUGAAUAACAAUGCACACCCGAGAAGUCGUAACAUAUGCAUGCGUUUGCUGUAGUUUACGUUUUCAACUAUUAUUACAUAGUUUUCACCACUUAGAGAAACAUACUUACUUGAAGAAGCUUAGCACGAAUCAUGGCAAUAGCUAGCAUGCAUUCUAACUCUUUUAUUUAAACAAAAACGCAAACUUUCAAUCAUUAAAACUCACGAAAUCAGAUCGCCAGAAAAUCAUUAACGAAACAUCAAUACGUUUUAUAAAAUUCUGAAUCUAGUGAAUACAAGAACAAGCAAAACAUGCUUUCAAAUCCAGAGUUUAACAUUCGAAACAUGCUUUCAAGUUGUAAAGAAAAUCAAAACAAAGUAAAGGCAGUGUUUACACUUUUUCAGUUUCCAAGUAAGCUUGGCGACGUCAAAAGGAUGCUUGGCUUCAAUGCUUCAAGUCUCCAACUCUGCUACCUUCGUGGAGAAGUCCUUCAAGGUUUGGCAAGAGAGGAUGAACUCGGCAAAAGAGGAAAAGACGGCCUGCUGCUGCUCUCGUAUCUCUCUGCUUUUUUACAUGAAUGAAUGAUGAAAAUUGUGAAGCAGAGAGCCUCUAUUUAUAGUGAACACGCCAAACCCUAUCUCUUCUCCUAGCCCUUGAUCAGCUUCUGAUCCAAUGGUCUGGAAUAAUUGCGUUACACUACCAGGACAAGCACUUUAGCCGACGAAAAAAUUUUGUCGGCCUGUUAACUUAAUUAGUCGGCUAAGAUCUUAGCCGAUGAGCCAUCGUCGGGAAAAGGUCGUCGGCGAUGACUUUAGCCGACGAAAAAAAAAAUUUCGUCGGCUAUAGUCCCACAGUUUAGCUGACGAAAAACAUGUCGUUGGUUUUUUUCCCAGACUUUAGCCGACGAAAUAAUUAAGAUAUUCGUCGGCUAAACCUUAUAAAAAAAAAUUAAAAAAAUAUCUAUAGCCGACGAAAUAUAGUCUAUUUCGUCGGCUAAACCUUAUAAAAAAAUUUAAAAAAUAACUAUAGCCGACGAAAUAUAGUCUAUUUCGUCGGCUAAACCUUAUAAAAAAAUAUAAAAAAUAGUGAUUUGCCGGCUAUAGAUAUUUUUUAAAUUUUUUAAAAAAUUUAAAUUUUGCGACUUCAAAUGGUUUCCAUGUCUCAGAUUAGGAUGUAUAUGUGAUUUGCUAAUGCUUAUAAUGUGUUUCCUACCCCAUUUAGCUAUGUUAUUCUUGUAAUAGUGUCAUUUCUAACAUGUUUUGUGAGGGUGAAGGCAAAAGAGCAGAAAAGCAGAAAAGGAAGCUAAAACAGGCAAUUUAAGAAAAAUCCUAAUCAAAGGAGGAUUCCUGGUACAGCAAGGAGUCCCAUUAAGUCGCAAAAUCUGAGGAUAAGUCGUUUAAGAAACUUUCUUGUUUUGAAAAGGGAAACUUGCCUAUUUCAUUUUAAGAAACUUUCUUAUUUUGAUUUAGAAAACUUACUAUUUCUAAAUCUUUCCUAUUCUGACUUUCCUAAAAUAUUUAGGAAACUUUCUUUUCUGAUGAGACAUGGAAACCAUUUGAAGUCAGGAAACCUAAUUCAACUUGGAAUAGGAAUCUAUGAAUGUGUAUAAAAGGAAGAGGACGAAUUCUACAGUAAUCAAGGGAUUUAUAUGUUAAUAUAAAUUAGAAAUUAAGGGAUUCUUUCCUUAAUUUCGUCAUUUGAAUUCUGUUAUUCCCUACCUUAUUUAUCUGACUUUAUUUCUCUUUCAGGAACCCUAAUUGCGCACCAGGUAAGGAAGGAAAAUCAAGGAUUUUCGUCAAAAGUCUGAUUGAGGGCAGAAGAAGGAAUGUUUUCACUGCUGUGAUUUCUUUUGGAGAACAAGAAACGUACCUGGCCUCUAUUCAAGCCUCAUGCAACGAAUUACUGCACCAGAUAUUCUAGAGAAUUCUGGGGAUUUUUAAUUCAAGAUAUUAACACUACCAGAAGAAAGGCUUUAGCCGACGAAAAUAAAAAACCAGGCCGACGAAUAAUUUUUUCGUCGACUAAAGUCCACUUUAGCAGACGAAAUUUUCCUUCGUCGGCUAAUUUAAAAUUUUCGUCGGCUAUGGUCAACUUUAGCCGACGAAAUUAAAAUUUCGUCGUCUGAAUAAUUUUUUUCGUCGGCUAUAGUCUGUGAACUUUAGCCGAUGAAAUUUUUAAAAGUUUAGCCGACGAAAAAUAUAAUUACGUCGGCUAAAGUAUUUAAAUAUCUGCAGAUUUGGACAACAACUCAUCUGGGGAAAAAAAACUAUACGUAGAACCUUCAAACACAAAAUAUUCGUGAAAUAAGAUAUGACCAGAAUGGUGAAAUACGUCUACGGUUGAAAAAACACGGUAUUCCGGUAAAGUCUCGGUGCCGAUAGUUGCGGUCAAUGCAAUUUACCUUUAUUAUUCACUAUGCUGCAGAUUUGGUUUUUGGUGUCCGAUUGACUAUUGUGAUACCUUUCCGGAAGCGUAACGACCCUACGAGUCAAACUCAUCGCUAUUGUAAUGAUGUAUGAGCCUUUUUGGCCAUCCGAGUCUGUUUAGGGCUUCAAAAUGUAGUUUUCUUAUUUCCGAUUAGAGUUGACCGUUUCGAUCGAGCCCUUAACGUUGUCGAAUCCAGUUGAUUUUUUUACCAUAGCCAUAUUUCGUCAUAAUGAUCAUAUCUGACGGUCGAAUUUUGGUUUGUAAAUUUUAGUCAUCGGAAUCACAACGUGUCUACUAUUUACCGUUAUUAUUCCCUAUGGGGAGCCCUAUCGUCGGAAGGUAAAUGUCUCAAAAUUUUUAUAUGGGUAGUUGCGUCUCAUCUACGUGAGAGUUUUUGUGUGGAAGGUUUGACCAAACCACGUAAUAUAGAGGGAGAUAUGAGCAUUUUCGUGUGAUAAGUGACGAUGGAUUAGGGUUGACCGUUUCGAUCGAGUCCUUAACGUUGUCAGAUCCAGUUGAGGUUUUUACCAUAGACAUCUUUCGUCAUAAUGAUCAUAUCUAAUGGUCAAAUUUUGGUUUGUGAAUUUUAGUCAUCGGAAUCAUAACGUAUCUACUAAUGUUGUAUAACUUGUUUAGUAGGUUAUACAACUUUGUGAACCAACUCUAUAUAGGAAGCAAAAUUAUCAAAAAUCUCGUGAAAUAAGAUGUGUUCAGAAUGGUGAAAUACGGCUAUGGUUCAAAAAUGACGUACAUCGGGUAAAGUCUCGGUGCCGAUAGUAGCGGUCAACCCUAUGUACCGUUAUUAUUCCCUAUCGUCGGAAGGUAAAUGUCUCAAAAUUUUUAUAUAGGCGGUUGCGUCUCAUCUACGUGAAAGUUUUUCGUGUGGAAGGUUUGACCAAACUACGUAAUAUAGAGGGAGAUAUGAGCGUUUUCGUGAAUUUAUAGACUUUAGCUGACGAGAUAUUAAAAAAGUCGUCGGCUAAGGUCAAAAAUUUUUAGGCGGUAAACCAAAUUUGGAGGAAAAUUUUCAAAGGACUUUAGCCGACGAAAAUAUAUGAAAAGUCGUCGGUUAAAGUCAAAAAAUUUUCAAAAUUUUCAACCAAAAUUUUCAAAAGAGUUUAGCCGACGAAAAUAAAGAAUUUCGUCGGCUAAAGUUCUUUAUAUAGGAGUUUUACCGAAGGUGGAUGGUAAGAAGUCUAUUUCGCCUGCCAGAUUUUCUUCUCGGCCUAACUCCGCCGUCAAGCCACCGGAGACCGCCACACUUGUCUCAAAAGCUUCGCCGUCGUCUCUACUUCAUUGCUGGACAGGUGGUGCAUCGAGUGGUGCCACCGUGAGGGAUAAAUCGAGCUCCAAAACUCUGCCGGUUCGAAUUCGGUGUCGAUCGAAUUUCUCCUUCCUCAGGUCACUAUUUGGUGAGUUCUAUAUAUAGAUAAGUUGAGUUUGAUUAGUACUACAUUCCCCUAGAAUUUGGUAGCUCAAUUCGGUGUGUGUGAGGAGAAUCGAAGAUUUAAAGUUUUUAGAGUUUAAAAUUGAGGAUUUUUAUAUUUUGAUUCAAUUGACCUGUUUAGGCUUAGAAUUGGGCUUCGACUUCUUCUAGAAAGUUGUUCGAAAUGUUGAGAGGAAGAUUCUAUCAAAUUUUGGUGGUGAUUGGAGGUGGCCGGAAGUUUAUGCAGUUUUUUUUUCAAAAACCAGCAACUUUAGCCGAUGAUAUUUAAAUACUAUAAAAGGAUUUAAAAUAUAAAUAAAUCCACUUGUGUUGUUAUUAAACAAAUAAGGACAGUUUUUAACAAUUAAGAACAAUCUUUUUUCUACAUGCCAUGUGUUAUGGUUUAAUUUACCAAACUAACCCUACACUAAUUAAAUAUGCUUUUAGAAGAGAAAAGUCUCUCCUUUUAAGAUUUUUCAGUAAAUGGAAUACAGUAGCGUGUUUUCAAUAACUUAGUAUAGUAUCAGUUAAUUCCAGUGUAGUAGCAGGGGUUAACAUCCCAGUAGUAGUAGCAGUUAAUUCCAGUAGAAGUAGUAUCAUGGGUUAACAUUCCAAUAGAAAGUAGUAGCAGAGGUUAACAUCCCAGUAGAAGUAGUAGCAGGUUUUCGUGUGGCUCAGCUAAUGUAGUAGCAUGUUUUGUUGGAAAGCUACACUUCCAACAGAUGUAGUAGCAGGGUUUUAGUGGUUCAGCUAGUGUAGUAGCAACUUCAAUAAGUGCAAUAACAGAUUUUUAGUGGCUCAGCUAAUGUAGUAGUAUGUUUUGUUGGAAAGCUACACUUCCAACAUAUGUAGUAGUAGGGUUUUAAUGGUUCAGUAAGUGCAGUAGCAUGUUUUUAGUGGCUCAGCAAAUGUAGUAGCAGCUAUUUUCAGUACGUACAGUAAUAGCAGGUUUUUAGUGGUUCAGCUAGUGUAGUAGCAGUUACUUCUAGUAAAUGCAGUAUCAGCUAUUUCCAAUAAAUGUAGUAGCAUGUUUUCAGUGGUUCAGCCAAUAUAGUAGCAACUACUUCAAGUAAAUACAGUAGCAAAGCUAUUUUCAGUAAAUGUAGUAGCGGUAGGCUUUUAGUGACUCAGCUAAUGUAGUAGCAGUUAUUUUCAAAAAAGUGCAGCAGCAGCAUGUUUUUACUAGCUCAAUUAGUUGGUAGCAAGACUAGCAACUAUUUCCAAAAAUGCAAUAACAAGGUAUUACCAGUAGAGUAGUAGCAAGCUUUUAGUGACUCAGCUAGUGUUGUAGCAUCAACUUUCAGAAAAUACAGUAGCAGGUAUUUAGCGAAAUCGAUAAACAAUAGCUUAAUUAACACAUAUUAGUAUAAACUUCAUCAGAUUAUCUUGUCUAUAAAUUGUUAUUCUAAUGUGCAAAAAUAGAUUUAUUCCCAUAUCAUGAUUACUGAAUCAGUAGCAAUUAGAUNNNNNNNNNNNNNNNNNNNNNNNNNNNNNNNNNNNNNNNNNNNNNNNNNNNNNNNNNNNNNNNNNNNNNNNNNNNNNNNNNNNNNNNNNNNNNNNNNNNNNNNNNNNNNNNNNNNNNNNNNNNNNNNNNNNNNNNNNNNNNNNNNNNNNNNNNNNNNNNNNNNNNNNNNNNNNNNNNNNNNNNNNNNNNNNNNNNNNNNNNNNNNNNNNNNNNNNNNNNNNNNNNNNNNNNNNNNNNNNNNNNNNNNNNNNNNNNNNNNNNNNNNNNNNNNNNNNNNNNNNNNNNNNNNNNNNNNNNNNNNNNNNNNNNNNNNNNNNNNNNNNNNNNNNNNNNNNNNNNNNNNNNNNNNNNNNNNNNNNNNNNNNNNNNNNNNNNNNNNNNNNNNNNNNNNNNNNNNNNNNNNNNNNNNNNNNNNNNNNNNNNNNNNNNNNNNNNNNNNNNNNNNNUUUUGGUUGAGUUAGUGGCAGUUUGUAGAUAUUUCAGAAAAAUUAGGUUUUUUGGGUAUUUUGUGUAAAAAAUUAGCUGACAUGGCGUGGUACUAUGAACUUUGGGUCUAGGCUUAUAUCUUCAUUUGUUUAAAUCUGUUGAAAGGUGUUUUUUCUGUUUUAUGCAACUGUUUAGGAUAGUGGGAUGUCAUUUCCUAUAUAAACAUAGCACUUUGUGCUCGUAUCAUUAGGUUGGGUUCCAAACUUUUUUGAAAAUAAUAUCAUUUUUGAAAAAAGGAAAAGGAAAAAAAACUCAAUAAGAGCAAAACUCAAUAAACAAAAGAUAUAUAUGUUCUAGGAUAUUCUCUAUGUGUGCCAUGGCCUUAUGCCAAUAGGAUAUGUAGUUAGACUAGAUCUAUGUAUUCAUAUCCUUACCAUAUUGGUAUUGUGUAAUUCCCUAUAUAAAUGGCCCCUAUCAAUGAAUAAGAUGAUGACUCUCUUGCUAUCUCUUUGUCUCUACACUUUAUCCUUUAUCACGUUAUCAUGCACUUUGUUCUAACCCUAGAGUCAAUAGUCCACCAUUUUUUUCUAAACCCUAAAAACCAAAACCCUAAAAUCGGGCAGCCUUGUUUUUCCCGAUUUCCGACCAAAAUUCCGACUUCCCUCCGCCGGAAUUUUAUAUCCCCAGAAAGCUCUCUCCGCCCCGAAUCCAACGCCGCCGGUCUCACCCUGAGAACCGGCCGGAAAGUCUCCGAACCGGCCGCCGAAAGAUUCCAGACUGCCGCCGCUACCGACCACCGGUUCACCACCUUCCCUUGCUCCGAUCAACCUGAAAUUUUGACAGCAGCUUCCCCAUCCAGAGAUGCUCCUCCUAUCAAAUUUUCAGCCCCAAAUUCGAAUUAUAAGUAGGCGAAACGUUAUUUCUGCUCUCGGCAGCCUCUAGAAAGGUAUGUUUUUUGAAACCUUAAACUUUUCCAAGUUCAAUAACUCAGGGAGGAUAAAAUUCUUUCCUCCUUUCUCCAUCUCCAUUCUAUGCUUGGGAUUUUGUGCGUGCAGGUACCCAAAUCCCGGAAUUUUAUUCGCGGGUCAAGAGUGUGUUUGAUCACUCUUGUUUCUUUGUCCGGGUUGUGUUUGAUCAACCCCGAUCUUUCACCGGAUUGUGUUUGAUCAAUCCGAGGCUUUUUUCCGAAUUGUGUUUGAUCAAUUCGCGGCUUUUCCGGAUUGUGUAUGAUCAAUCCGAAGGACAAACCAUUAAAAGCAUCGUUUGUGACCUCUAUCGAGUCUCAUAACAGCUUGGUUUUGUAUGCAAGAGCAAUGUAACAUUCUGCUCCUUUGAGUUUUGACGUACUAAAUGCCUAAGGCGGAUCUUCGCUUGGUAUCUGUGGAACCUUUCAUUUGGAAAAAGAUUAAAACCACAAUGUUUUGACCCCCAGGCUAACAAGCCUAGAUACCGAGAUGCCACAUCGACAAAAGCCUUNNNNNNNNNNNNNNNNNNNNCCCCGGUCUAGACACCAUUUUGUCAAAACUACUCACGUCAGCUCAUGACAUUAAUGCAACCGUUGUGGAUCUUCAGAUCACUGGUUCAAGAUUGUCAAGCUCCUUUAAAUUGUGAAUGCAUACAAAAGGUAUGGAAAAUCAAUAUGAGGACAAAAACGUCAUCCUCAUGAUCACGAAUUUCAAAGAUUCGGAUCCUGCUCUAGCUACCCAUGACUUUGACGUCAUCGGCUAGACAUUGAUUUUCGUUCCAAGCUUUAUGUACUAAGGCGUUGUAUCGACGUCCUUUGUCUAUUUGAGACCUCGAUGUACUCACAUUAGCAAUAAUGAAUGCCUUGAGAAUUUUUUCGAAGUGAAACUAUUCUCCUCUUAUGGUUCAUAUUGAUUUACAAUCAAGAUGUACACUUACAUCGUCCUUAGAAACAUGGCAUAUUGUGCCAAUUUUGAUCCCUUCCUUUGAAGGUGACUCAUGGCACUGCAUCCUGAAGGAUCGCCCACGUGUUUCCGGUUAAGUCUUCUACCCUAUAGCGGAUUUUUCAUCAUCAAUUGUUCAACUAGGCUCAUCCAAGCUCAGUGUGAUGUCUUAGAAUUGUCCAAAAUUAAGGAGAUAGUGGUUUUAAGUGUGCCUCGCACUACCGACCCUCCACGGACAUGCCUAGUCAUACUGACUCGGAGUUACCGAAAGCUUUUGAUUUUGGAUCCCCCUACGCUAUUAAACCAAUUGCCGUCUUGCAAAAGACGUUGAACACUUAUAGAAGCUGGAAAAUUAUCAUCAUAAUCGGAUCCUCUAGGUCCUCUGAGUUAGUUUAUGUUCAUGUCAGGGAGCUUUUGCUAACUAGUCAUGGAGUUUACGACCUUAGAACGAUCAAAAAGACUUAGUUUUGAUCAUACACACGUCACUUUUGGCUAAGGCAAAAGCCUACACGCCACCUGCAAGCUUCACAGCUUCGCACAUGCCAAAUCUGCGAAAAACAGCAAUCUGUCCCUUCUGGACAGUCAACUUCUUUUGAGCUUUGUGAACAGUUCCGAACGAACCAGACAGUGAGCUUUAUAUCAUUGGAAAGCUCUACGAGUCUAGUUUUCAGAACUUUUCACGGUUCGUCCAUAUCUAUUUUAACGAAGAAGUUAUGGCUGUUUUAGUGCGCAAAGGUCAUUCUGCGCGGAAAUUUUUAUGCACUCUCGGGAUUGCAGCUUUUCGUAGCUUCUUUCAAUCCUUCUAAAUGGUUCAAGUAGAACUAUUUACUCGCCUAUCUACUCCUUGUAGUUAUGUCUCAUAGAGACAUUGAGUGCUUUGCAGAUAGUAGAACUAUCCACAACAUUCUAAGGAACCAUGUUGAGCUUUAAAGACAUUCAUGCUAAUGGUUUUCAUUUGAAAACACAUUGUGAGAAUGAACAAGAAUUCUUUUGUGUAUACCUCCUCAUGAAUGCGAACNNNNNNNNNNNNNNNNNNNNUCUCUCUCGAGGUUUCUCGGCGGCGGCCAGAUCUGACUGGUGGCGGCUCUGUAUCUUUGUAUAGAGAGUGGGAGUCUCUUCCUCUCCCUCCUCUCUCUCUCUCGUCAAAUCUGUGGGGGUGCUCGAUGGUCCUCCCUAUAUGCAAGCUUCAGCAAUUCUUCUGGUGGGGAAGUUGAUGGCGGCGCUAAUACUCACUUGGUGAACCGGACCUGGGGUUGUCUUGGUUAGGAGACGAUCACAAAGGGUGAUGGUGACUGGACGUGGUUCUUUCCAGUUGCUAUCAAGGGGAGGGCAGCCAAGUCCGAGGCUACGUUGGAGCCUAGCGCAGUGAUUGUUGAUGGCGCAUGGAAUCCCGGAGAUCCUUUUCUCCUCCCUCAUGUCUUCGAUGUGAUUGCAGGCGUGGUACAAGGAGGGCAACCCCUUGAUUUGGCUGUUGUUGGAGGUUCAGUUUGUGGAUGUGGUGCCGGCGACGGUGCAGGUUGGGACAUUAACGUUGGUAUCUCUGGUGGGCGAUGAUGUCAGCAGAGAAGUGGUGGCGGCUAGGGCAACAUCCUUGGCUCCUAUGGAAUUUGGGCUCCAUUGGGUUUGGAUCAGUUAGGGUUUCCAUUAAAUGGGCCUUGACGGAUGCAGCUGGGUGUAGGCCCCUUAUUUGGAAUGAGUUGAGGUCCAGGUAACUAGUGAUUUCGCAGAGUCUUGAUAGUUUUCUCCGAAACCUAGUUUCACCUGUAAAAUAAUUGUGCUUAAUCGCUAUAAGGUGGGUGUACUUAGGAUUUCAAAGCUUAUGCUUUAUCUAGUAUAGGACUUGCAAUUCUGCAAGACGAUGUUUUCUGACGACCCUACAAGGGUAAGUCGUCUUUGUACUGCUUACUCUGAUUUAAAUUGAAUGACCUUUUGAUAAAAAAUUUAAAAAAGUCAGUACUAGUGACGUGAAUUUUGACUAAUCUAAUGAUACAAUUUCUUAAAUUAUCUAAAUAAAUAAAAAAGAAGAAGAGAAUCAAAUCAAAUAGAAGAGGAGAAAAAGAAACAUGACAAAAACCCUAAUUCACUAUUGCAGAGGCGUUUGAUACCCACCAUUAAUCAAGACUCUUCUUUCUUAGAAUCAAAAUAAAACUAAGAGAAAUUUUAUUAACACAUAUCUAACUACUUUAUACACAUCCCUAAAUUUUUUUGUUUAACUUUUUCCACAAAGUUCCUAAUAUGCCCAUCUACUUCUCAAAAAAGAAAAAGAAAAAAGACUAUUAGAUAUAGAAACUUUCAGUUAUGCCUCACAAAAAUCCCUUCAUUUUGAAGAUUGGCCUGAAAAAUGCAAUGAGAUAAUAAAAAUUCAUGUUAGUGGUCAAUUUCAAUUAGGGAGACUAUAUAAUACGCCUCGAUCUUCGACUUGGAUGUUAGGCAAUUCUGCUUGUCAAUAUUAUUACUUUCAGUUUCAUUGGAAUUCGGUGAUUGAGUUGUGUGUAGGAUAAGUAGAGGUUUUUUUUUUUUUUUUUUGAACUUAAAGACAAUUUUGUCAUUAGGAUCAAGUAGAGGGUACAAUACGAAUCGAUCAGUUGCCAUGCGCACAAAGGAUAAGCAAGACCAUCUGAUUUGUAUGAGGGUUGUAUCCUCAUUACAAAUUGAGGCUCACAAGGAGCUUAUAAUCUAAUAUCAAAUAGAUCAUAGGCAAAUAUUUCUAACUAAACUAGAGCAAGAAAAUGAAGCUUCCUCAUGUAAAAAGCAAGGACCAAGAUCGAGCAAUUGUUCCGAAAAGCAAAAAAACUUAAAAAUUAAAGGGCUAAAGAAGUAAGCCCUAUUUAUUAGGCCAUGAAGAAAGCAGCCCCAUUUAGAUGGCCCUAAGGAAGCAGCCCCAUUUAGAUGGCCCUAAGGAAGCAGCCCAUAACAGAGGCCGACGACCCAAGGUCCAACCCGAAAUGGCCUGAGGAAGCCUAGCCGUCAUCUUCAACCCGAGUAGCCUCCUGUGUAGGUGCUCCUCCUUCCCGUCCCGCCGUCGAGUUUUCUAAGUUGAUCCAUGCGUCGCCCAGAUCCACACUGCUAAGGCCACACGACUCCGCCCAAAGCGCAAAACUGAGAGACCACCACAUCUUGAAAAAACCUUGUCGGUCACCCAACACAAAAUAGCCACCAUGCCUGAAAUAGCACCCAAACUCAUCUCAGCCACCAAGCCAAACCUUGAGCCAAAGCACCCAGAUCUUAGAACUCCUUUGCAAUUGAAAAAUUCAGAUCCCGUCCGACAGCAACUCAUACAGGCAAGGAAAAAGACUCCUGCCAUGAGCGCCGCCGGACGAGCUUGGUUUGACAGAGAGGGAGGCCGCCGCUCUUUCCCUUAAGGGUUUUUGAGAGAGAAGAAAACUUAUGAAAAAGUGCGGUGCCGGAUAAGUAGAGGUGUUUGUCAACUAGCAAACCUGAUUAAUGAGAUGUGCAAUUCCAGGUGGGAUAUCUCAAUCUCCAGGCUAUAAUAUGUAUAUAAUCGAUCGACCUUGUAAGUUGUGUGUAAAUAACGUUCGUCGAGAUUUAAUUGCUCCAAACAUAAUUCCAUCACAAUGAUAAAAACCAAAACAAGAAAUCAGAGGAAACCAAAUUUUGAUUACUAUAUAUAGAUUAGUAGGUGAUCCAGAAAUUUAUCCAUGAAAAGUGUAAGUUGUAUAACUUACUCAUUUGUAUUCUCGAAGACAUUAGCAAUGGGGGUUAAACCUUAAAGUUUUUUUUCCUUUGCAUUAUUCUUUUUUCUUUCUGUGUUCAUCCAUCUUUGUCUUCCUUCUUCUUUUAGGGUUCAUCUUUG